rnacentral:lncRNA from 1 species
CCCUUCCCAUCAAGGUUGGACCAUGGGGUGGGAGUGAAGCGAAUCCAUUUGACAUCACAGAGGAACCCAAGCGUCUCGAAAGCGUGACGGUUCGGUCUGGCGCUGUCAUUAAUUCAUUUGGUUUUACCUAUGUUGAUCUAGCAGGCCAGAAGCACACCGUUGGCCCAGUUGGAGGUAACGGUGGGAAGCUUACUACGGUAAGUGAAACUCUAAACUGUGUAGUAUUGCCUUUCUUUUUUCUCAUGUAUUCUAUCGUUUUAUUUUUUCUUUUCAUUUUUCCCAUGCAGAUCCAGUUUGCACCAACGGAGUACGUGAAGGGAUUCGGUGGAUCCGUUGGUCCGACACAAGGAACAUGGGUUGUGACGUGUCUCAAUAUUGAAACAAACCUAAGAACACACGAGAUAUAUGACCAAGGGAACAUGUUUCUAUCUCUGCCAGGGAAGGUUCCUUUUGGCGUUCCCUCGCCAGGGAAGGAAAUUCCUUUUAGCAUCCCUCUGCCAGAGGACACUAGCAUUGUGGGAUUCUUUGGACGUGCAGGGGCUAAUCUUGAAGCCAUCGGCGUUUAUGUGAAAUCGACAAACAUAGACACAAUAGAAGAAACCACAAGUAACCUGGACACUUGUUCCCCGGAUGAACCGAUCAUCAUUGCCGAGGUGAUGCAUACUUAUUAGCUCAUUUCCUACCUUGCUUGUUCUCCUUUCUAUUUAAUUUUAACCAUGUUAAUUAAUUGCUUCCUCUAAUUUGCAGGCUGUUCCCAUCAAGAUUGGAGCAUGGGGUGGGGACGGAGGGACGGAGUUUGAUGUCACAGAGCCACCCAAGCGCCUUCAAAGCAUGACUAUUCGCGCUGGAGAUUCUAUUGAUUCAAUUGGAUUUUCCUACAUUGAUGAAGCAGGCAAGAAGCACAGUGAAGGUCCAUUUGGCGGUACCGGUGGGCAACUUACAACGGUACCGAGCUAACUGUCGAGGCUCUUGCAGUCAAUCUAGUAUGUUGUUCUGUGUUAUACAGAGAAUGCAGUAACGCAGCUAACAUUUUUCCCCCCGUGCAGAUAAAGUUCGCACCAUUGGAGUAUGUGAAGAAGUUUUCUGGAACGAUUGGGCGAGCUGUUGGCUCUGGGGAAAUGUUGUUUGUAGCGUCGCUAGAGAUUGAAACAAACGUCAAAAAGUAUGGGCCAUACGGAAAAGAGGACAACGACUAUCCAUUCAGCAUCCCGUUGCCAGAGAAUACUAGUGUCGUGGGAUUUUUCGGACGUGCAGGGAGGCUCAUUGAUGCUGUUGGUGUUUACAUAUAUUAUUGCAAAUCCCCUCUCAUUGAUGCAACUGAAGAAACCUCAGGUAACAAAGAUGAAGAAACCUCAAAGAACAAAGACACCACUUCCGCACCACCACUCACCAUCACUGGACAGGUAUUGUGCCCUUUGCUAGUCAUUACCUACCUUGCAUUGUCAUUCACUAUUCAUACCUUAGCUUUAUACGUGCAACUAACUUUCUCUUUGAAAAAAAUGCUGCUUCAUCUAUAAUUUACAGACCUCUCCUAUCAUGAUUGGAAUGUGGGGUGGGGAUGGAGGGGAGGAGUUUGAUGUCACAGAGCCACCGAAGCGCCUCGACAGCGUGAUGAUUCGAGCUGGUGAAAUCAUCGAUUCAUUUGGCUUUUCCUAUAUUGAUCAAGCUGGUCAGAAGCACACUCUAGGUCCAUAUGGUGGGAAGGGUGGGAAGCUUACCACGGUAAAUAACAUUGCAUGCUGUAUGUCUCUUGCAUUUACUAAAAGUAGCAUAGAGGUCUAGUAACCUGCAGGCAAUUUUUCUUCCUGCAGAUCCAGCUUGACCCAACAGAGUAUGUGAAGGGUUUCUCCGGAACAACUGGUACUUAUGUUGGAUCACAGGUUGUAGCGUCGCUAGCGAUCGAAACCAACUUAAGGGAGUAUGGACCAUAUGGAGAAGAGCAGGACAUGCAUUUCAGCAUUCCCCUCCCUAAGAACGCUAGCGUUGUGGGCUUCUUUGGAAGUGCUGGCAACCUUCUUGAUGCAAUUGGCGUUUACGUGAUGAAUGGUUCCAUCCCAAACUAGUGUGAGCAAAAAGGCACCUAAAAUAAUUAAGUCAGGAUUUCCGUCCUCAGUGAGUUCAGCUUUCCAGUGUUUCGGUCGUAAUAAGAUGCUCAUGCAUGAGCAUGGUGUGUGUUUGUGAGACCUUUCGUGGAUCGAGAGUGCUUUUGUUGUCACCUAAGUUGUGGAAUAA